rnacentral:rRNA from 1 species
UACGAAGGGGGCUAGCGUUGCUCGGAAUCACUGGGCGUAAAGCGCACGUAGGCGGCUUGCUAAGUCGGGGGUGAAAUCCUGGAGCUCAACUCCAGAACUGCCUUCGAUACUGGCGAGCUCGAGUCCGGGAGAGGUGAGUGGAACUGCGAGUGUAGAGGUGAAAUUCGUAGAUAUUCGCAAGAACACCAGUGGCGAAGGCGGCUCACUGGCCCGGUACUGACGCUGAGGUGCGAAAGCGUGGGGAGCAAACAGG